AUCGAACGCUGGUGGCAGGCUUAACACAUGCAAGUCGAACGGUAACAGGCAUUCGCUUGCUUAUUUGCUGACGAGUGGCGGACGGGCGAGUAAUGCUUGGGAAUCUGGCUAAUGGAGGGGGAUAACUACGGGAAACUGUAGCUAAUACCGCGUAAAAUCUUCGGAUUAAAGGGUGGGACUUUCGAGCCACCUGCCAUAAGAUGAGCCCAAGUGGGAUUAGGUAGUUGGUGAGGUAAAGGCUGACCAAGCCGACGAUCUCUAGCUGGUCUGAGAGGAUGACCAGCCACACUGGAACUGAGACACGGUCCAGACUCCUACGGGAGGCAGCAGUGGGGAAUAUUGCACAAUGGGCGGAACUCUGAUGCAGCCAUGCCGCGUGAAUGAAGAAGGCCUUCGGGUUGUAAAGUUCUUUCGGUGACGAGGAAGGUUGAUAGGUUAAUAGCCUAUCAAAUUGACGUUAAUCACAGAAGAAGCACCGGCUAACUCCGUG
rnacentral:rRNA from 1 species